rnacentral:rRNA from 1 species
AGGACGAACGCUGGCGGCGUGCCUAACACAUGCAAGUCGAACGCGCUCCAUUCGGUAGCAAUACUGAUGAAGAGCGAGUGGCGAACGGGUGAGUAGCACGUGAGCAACCUGCCCCGAAGACUGGGACAACACCGGGAAACCGGUGCUAAUACCGGAUAUCCCUAUCGGACCGCAUGAUCUGAUAAGGAAAUGGAUUCCGCUUCGGGAGGGGCUCGCGGCCUAUCAGCUAGUUGGUGAGGUAAUAGCUCACCAAGGCAUCGACGGGUAGCUGGUCUGAGAGGGCGAUCAGCCACACUGGGACUGAGACACGGCCCAGACUCCUACGGGAGGCAGCAGUGGGGAAUCUUGCGCAAUGGGCGAAAGCCUGACGCAGCAACGCCGCGUGGAGGACGAAGGCUUUCUGAGUUGUAAACUCCUUUCAGCAGGGACGAUAGUGACGGUACCUGCAGAAGAAGCACCGGCCAACUACGUGCCAGCAGCCGCGGUGAUACGUAGGGUGCAAGCGUUGUCCGGAUUUAUUGGGCGUAAAGAGCUCGUAGGCGGUUUGAUUAGUCGGGUGUGAAACCUCCAGGCUCAACCUGGAGCCGCCACUCGAUACUGUCAUGACUAGAAUUCGGUAGGGGACCACGGAAUUCCUGGUGUAGCGGUGAAAUGCGCAGAUAUCAGGAGGAACACCAGCAGCGAAGGCGGUGGUCUGGGCCGACAUUGACGCUGAGGAGCGAAAGCGUGGGGAGCGAACAGGAUUAGAUACCCUGGUAGUCCACGCCGUAAACGUUGGGCACUAGGUGUGGGGACUAUUCAACGGUUUCCGUGCCGCAGCUAACGCAUUAAGUGCCCCGCCUGGGGAGUACGGCCGCAAGGCUAAA